ensembl:lncRNA
CCAGCAGGGGAAGUCCAAGGCGGCUCACUUCGUGUUCAGGACCUCGGCGCAGCCCACGGCCAUCCCAGCGACCUUAGGAGGCUCCUCCGCGUCCUACACGUUUGUCUCAUUGCUUUUCUCUGCAGUGACUCUUCUUUUGCUCUGUUAGGAACUUGAACACACACACACACACACACACACACACACACAAAUUCAAAUUUGCUUAUAAGCCCAGUUCCUUUGAGGAUAUGAUCAGUGGCCCCUUUGAAAGAAUCUGUCAGGACCGCCAUGGCUACACUGCCAAGCUCUCUGUGGAAGAGGAAGGUCUGGCAAUGAGAAAAGGCCAGACCUCCAGACAUAUGACCAUUCAAAGAUACUUUAGUGCCAUUUCAUAAAGAAUUUGCCCCCCCCCUUUCAUGGCAGGACAAACAUGUCUGGGAGUUCUUUUCUUUAAACACUCUGUAUUAGAACAAAAUCCCCUUAGGCUAGGUUUGCAGAAAAGUUUCUGCACGUCUGCACUGGCUGCAUUUUUGGUUCUUACCUGAAAAUGAUGCCACAGAGAAAGAUUCCCAAGUACCCCCUAAAGCUCGCAUCAGAUUGUUAAAAUCACCACGUGCCCCUCCUCUGCCCUUGGAUGAGUAGUAGGCUUUGCUUGCAUUUAAGUGCCCGGGGUAAUACUCCCGCUGCAAUUCACCGGAACACUUGGCUGACGUGAUGGGCAGAGUUGGCCAGGCAGCGGAAGAAAUUGGACUCCAUGGGUAUUUUCUGGGGCUGAUCCAACAUUCUGGGAGGCGCUUAGGCCCCAGCAGGAUAACCAGCACCCUGCACUGGCUCUGUGAGCAGGGCCAACCUCUGAUGUGCUCAGCGCCUGUGGGCUCUGGAAGGUCCCACAGGGGGACCCAGCACCUCCUGGUGGGGGUGAUACCACUGCACGGCUGCAGAUCAGCCACAGACCUCGUGUCUUGACAGAUGGGGUCCAACUGUGACCCACGUCAUUGCCUAAGCCUCAGCCCCCCAGCUUGGAAGCACCCACUGUGAGCCUGGCGUGAGUUACACCUCCUCCCCAAGCAUGCUCAGCAGAGCGGAAAAUGGGGCCAGCCUGGGGUGCCCAUACAUUGGCACCUAGCGAGCCUGUGGCUCUACCUGAGUGCCUGACCCCUGUCCGUCAGUGGCUUCGGUGACAUUUUUAAAACUCUGUUGGAAGCCUGCUGCUCCUGCCGUGUUUAAGUCCCCCUGGAGCCUCAGGUGACUCCUGCUCAGCAGGGUCAGUGUCUGUGCUCGGGGGAGGUGGGUGGGGACCUUCUGCUGAAUAAAAACUCCCUCGCCCCUUUGUGGUCACAUACCAUUCCGCAUAUCUCUUCUCUCAGCAUCUCCGCAGAAGUUUGAUUUUUGUUCUUUUGGUUUUUUUAUUUUGUGGUUCUGUCAUUAUGUCUUCAUGUUCAAAGACUAGCCCUUCUCUCUGGGAAUCCCCAGGAUCCUGUUGUCUGCAGGACGAAGCUGCCUGUGUCAGUGGGCACAGACCCAUGUCAGUGGGCACAGGCCCGUGUCCCCAGAGCUGGCAGUUUAGAGGGUCAUGUAUAGAUAGAUACCCGAGGCCGCGUGCCAUCCGACAGCUCAGCUUGGGUAGUGCUUCUCACCCCAGUGCCAUCGGCCUCCACCCCCGCCCCCCCAGGGACAUCUCCCACUGGGGGCCCUGACCUCCCUUCACUCCAGGGCAGCAGGAGCAGGCAGGGCUCUUAGGCACCAAGCAGAGCACUGAGAAGAGGCACGUGGCGCCUGCAGGCCUGGGGUGAGGAUCCCAGAGCCGUCGGGAGGGUGGGGGCGGGGGAGACGCUCCUCGCGCAGGUGACCCCUCCCUGUCCUCCUGGCUUCUUGAUCUCAACUUGGGCAGAAGUCGCAUAUUCACCCAGGAGGGCCCAUCUCAGGGGUCUGCCCCGCCCCACCCCCGGCCCCGGCCCUGGGCCCAUAGAUGAGCGCCAGUGUCAGUGUUUCUGAAGGGACCCCGGGGACCUGGUCCAAAGUACACACAGGGAGGCCUGCCAUCCGUGACCCUGGCCCUUCACACAGCCUGGGCCAGGCAGGCCUCCACGAAAGCAACAUUGGGGGCAUCGCACUNNNNNNNNNNNNNNNNNNNNNNNNNNNNNNNNNNNNNNNNNNNNNNNNNNNNNNNNNNNNNNNNNNNNNNNNNNNNNNNNNNNNNGGGGCCCCCGUAUCUUGGCACCCCCCGGCGGCCCGAGCCCCUAAGACAGGCCCAGCUCAGCGGCCCAGCCCCAGAGUCCCGUCAGCUCGCCUGGGCUCCACAUGCCCCAGGGCUUCUCUGCUCAUUGUUGAACUAUUUAUACAGCAGGUUUCGGAUCAGGUUUCUCUACUAAUAAGAAUGCUAACGUGGUUGUGUAGAUAAUCAGCGAGGCCUUUAUGCAGUUGACACCUUUCGCGUUAUUAAAGGAAAUAACAGUUCAUG